CGGAGGGAUCAUUACUGAGUUUACGCUCUAUAACCCUUUGUGAACAUACCUAUAACUGUUGCUUCGGCGGGUAGGGUCUCCGUGACCCUCCCGGCCUCCCGCCCCCGGGCGGGUCGGCGCCCGCCGGAGGAUAACCAAACUCUGAUUUAACGACGUUUCUUCUGAGUGGUACAAGCAAAUAAUCAAAACUUUUAACAACGGAUCUCUUGGUUCUGGCAUCGAUGAAGAACGCAGCGAAAUGCGAUAAGUAAUGUGAAUUGCAGAAUUCAGUGAAUCAUCGAAUCUUUGAACGCACAUUGCGCCCGCCAGCAUUCUGGCGGGCAUGCCUGUUCGAGCGUCAUUUCAACCCUCAAGCUCUGCUUGGUGUUGGGGCCCUACAGCUGAUGUAGGCCCUCAAAGGUAGUGGCGGACCCUCCCGGAGCCUCCUUUGCGUAGUAACUUUACGUCUCGCACUGGGAUCCGGAGGGACUCUUGCCGUAAAACCCCCAAUUUUCCAAAGGUUGACCUCGGAUCAGGUAGGAAUACCCGCUGAACUUAAGCAUAUCAAUAAGCGGAGGAAAAGAAACCAACAGGGAUUGCCUCAGUAACGGCGAGUGAAGCGGCAACAGCUCAAAUUUGAAAUCUGGCCCUAGGCCCGAGUUG
rnacentral:rRNA from 1 species